rnacentral:ncRNA from 1 species
UGCACGAGGGGAAGCGCUGAUCCCCGAGCCGUGAACCGGUCGCCAGGUGCGUCACGGGGGCACACGGCGGCUCGAGGGGAGCCAAUGGCGAGACCGACCCCAGGACCG